AGCGAACGCUGGCGGCAGGCCUAACACAUGCAAGUCGAACGGAUCCUUCGGGAUUAGUGGCGGACGGGUGAGUAACACGUGGGAACGUGCCCUUUGGUUCGGAACAACUCAGGGAAACUUGAGCUAAUACCGGAUGUGCCCUUCGGGGGAAAGAUUUAUCGCCAUUGGAGCGGCCCGCGUCUGAUUAGCUAGUUGGUGACGUAACGGCCCACCAAGGCGACGAUCAGUAGCUGGUCGGAGAGGAUGAUCAGCCACACUGGGACUGAGACACGGCCCAGACUCCUACGGGAGGCAGCAGUGGGGAAUCUUGCGCAAUGGGAGAAAGCCUGACGCAGCCAUGCCGUGUGAAUGAUGAAGGUCUUAGGAUUGUAAAAUUCUUUCAGCGGGGACGAUAAUGACGGUACCCGCAGAAGAAGCGCCGGCUAACUUCGUG
rnacentral:rRNA from 1 species